rnacentral:rRNA from 1 species
UACAGAGGUCCCGAGCGUUGUUCGGAUUCAUUGGGCGUAAAGGGUGCGUAGGCGGCGGGGCAAGUCUGAUGUGAAAUCCCGGGGCUCAACCCCGGAACUGCAUUGGAUACUGCCUUGCUAGAGUACUGGAGAGGGAACUGGAAUUUACGGUGUAGCAGUGAAAUGCGUAGAGAUCGUAAGGAAGGCCAGUGGCGAAGGCGGCUUCCUGGUCCAGCACCGACGUUCAGGCACGAAAGCGUGGGGAGCAAACAGG